AUGAGCAGAAGGUGCCUUGUGAAUGGGAUACAUUGGGCUUAGUACCUAGAAAAACACGUGAGCAUAAGAGUGCUGUGUCCAUGAAUGCAGUAAUCGUGGGCGGAACGCGGGUGGGGUAGCCAGGGCAGGUGCCCUAGGUGCCACUGAGGGGAGGGUGCCAUGCCAGUUCCUGCCACCCCCACCCCAUUGCCCACCUGCCCAGCCCCAGGGCCCCUCAGCCACUUGCCUCCCGCUCCGGCCUAGGAUCGGCAACAAGGCCUAGGAUCAGAGCAUCCUGCAAACUGCAGAGCAGCUCUUCUCUCCCCGCCUCUCAGUUGAUCUGCGGGUGGGCGGGGCUUCCAGAGAGGCCUCUGUGUAGGCCUCCCUGAAGCCUGAACUUGGCAGGCCCCAAGGAAGCCAGGAAGAAGAAGGCAGGCAGAGCUCCCUGCAGCAGCAGACCCUCUGCCCAGAACAUCCAGCACAGCUUUUGCCAGCUCAACAUGGCGUCCAGGCUCUUUGCUAUCUCCACAUGGUGUCAGAGUGGGGAAUAACUGCUUGCAGGACACAGCAAACUUCAUUAUGGAAACAAGGAGACACAGAAUCAAGUCUACUAACCCUGUAGGACAACCAGCUACUGCUCCUGUUCCUGCAUAGGACAGUUCCCGCCACCUGAGAACAGAGGCCCAUGACACUUGCGAGUCAGCUCCUGUGCAGGAUUACUUAUAAACAAGUCCCACCAAGAUCGAUGGAGCUCAUUCCCAAAUAAAUGUGCACAGAACUGCA